UACGGAGGGUGCAAGCGUUAUCCGGAUUCACUGGGUUUAAAGGGAGCGUAGGUGGGUUGGUAAGUCAGAGGUGAAAUCUCCGAGCUUAACUCGGAAACUGCCUUUGAUACUAUCAGUCUUGAAUAUUGUGGAGGUUAGCGGAAUAUGUCAUGUAGCGGUGAAAUGCUUAGAUAUGACAUAGAACACCAAUUGCGAAGGCAGCUGGCUACACAUAUAUUGACACUGAGGCUCGAAAGCGUGGGGAUCAAACAGG
rnacentral:rRNA from 1 species